UACAGAGGUCUCAAUCGGUUUUCGGAUUUAUUGGGCGUAAAGGGUGCGCAGGCUGUAUGGUAAGUUUGGUGUGAAAUCCUGGGGCUUAACCCCAGAAUUGCACUGAAUACUGCCGUGCUAGAGGACUGGAGAGGAGAUUGGAAUUCACGGUGUAGCAGUGAAAUGCGUAGAUAUCGUGAGGAAGACCAGUGGCGAAGGCGAAUCUCUGGACAGUUCCUGACGCUCAUGCACGAAGGCCAGGGGAGCAAACGGG
rnacentral:rRNA from 1 species